CAGCCGCCGCGGUAAUACGGAGGGAGCUAGCGUUGUUCGGAAUCACUGGGCGUAAAGCGCACGUAGGCGGCUAUUCAAGUCAGGGGUGAAAGCCCGGGGCUCAACCCCGGAACUGCCUUUGAAACUAGAUAGCUUGAAUCUUGGAGAGGCGAGUGGAAUUCCGAGUGUAGAGGUGAAAUUCGUAGAUAUUCGGAAGAACACCAGUGGCGAAGGCGACUCGCUGGACAAGUAUUGACGCUGAGGUGCGAAAGCGUGGGGAGCGAACAGGAUUAGAUACCCGCGUAGUCCCUGUCUCUUAUAC
rnacentral:rRNA from 1 species